rnacentral:rRNA from 1 species
UCUGGUUGAUCCUGCCAGUAGUCAUAUGCUUGUCUCAAAGACUAAGCCAUGCAUGUCUAAGUAUAAGUGUUAUACAGUGAAACUGCGAAUGGCUCAUUAAAACAGUUAUAGUUUCUUUGAUAAUCGAAUUUACAUGGAUAACCGUGGUAAUUCUAGAGCUAAUACAUGCUGGUUUGCCUGACUUCUUGAAGGGCUGUAUUUAUUAGAUAACGAACCAAUAUUCCUUGUGUCUAUUGUGGUGACUCAUAGUAACUGAUCGAAUCGCAUGGACUUUGUCCGCGAUAAAUCAUUCAAGUUUCUGCCCCAUCAGCUUUCGAUGGUAGUGUAUUGGACUACCAUGGCUUUCACGGGUAACGGAGGAUUAGGGUUCGAUUCCGGAGAGGGAGCCUGAGAAACGGCUACCACAUCUACGGAAGGCAGCAGGCGCGUAAAUUACCCAAUCCUGACUCAGGGAGGUAGUGACAAGAAAUAACGGACCGAAGCAUCUUGUUUCGGGAUUGCAAUGGGUACAAUUUAAACCCCUUAACGAGGAUCAAUUGGAGGGCAAGUCUGGUGCCAGCAGCCGCGGUAAUUCCAGCUCCAAUAGCGUAUAUUAAAGUUGUUGCAGUUAAAAAGCUCGUAGUUGGACUUCUGGGAGGGCGCCGAUGUCCGCUGUUGCGUGUGCUGACGCACCCUUCCAUCCUUCUGUUAACGUUUCUUGGUAUUCAGUUACUGGUUUCGGGCUCAGAUAUUUUACCUUGAGAAAAUUAGAGUGUUUCAGGCAGGCUUGCGCCGGAAUACAUUAGCAUGGAAUAAUAGAAUAGGACUUUAGUCUCUCUUGUUGGUUUGGGGACUGAAGUAAUGAUUAAUAGGGAUAGUUGGGGGCAUUAGUAUUUAAUUGUCAGAGGUAAAAUUCUCGGAUUUGUUAAAGACUAACUUAUGCGAAAGCAUUUGCCAAGGAUGUUUUCGUUAAUCAAGAACGAAAGUUAGGGGAUCAAAGACGAUCAGAUACCGUCCUAGUCUUAACCAUAAACUAUGCCGACUAGGGAUCGGAGGCGUGACUUAUCCGCCUUCGGCACCUUAUGAGAAAUCAAAGUCUUUGGGUUCUGGGGGGAGUAUGGUCGCAAGGCUGAAACUUAAAGGAAUUGACGGAAGGGCACCACCAGGCGUGGAGCUUGCGGCUCAAUUUGACCCAGCACGGGAAAACUUACCAGGUCCAGACAUAGUGAGGACUGACAG